UACAGAGGGGGCAAGCGUUAUUCGGAAUUAUUGGGCGUAAAGGGCGCGUAGGCGGCUUGGCAAGUGGAAGGUGAAAUCCCUCGGCUUAACCGAGGAACUGCCCUCCAAAACUGCUUCGCUUGAGACCGGGAGAGGUGAGUGGAAUUCCCAGUGUAGCGGUGAAAUGCGUAGAUAUCAGGAGGAACACCGGUGGCGAAGGCGGGUCUCUGGGCCGAUACUGACGCUGAGGAGCGAAAGCGUGGGGAGCAAACAGG
rnacentral:rRNA from 1 species